GACGAACGCUGGCGGCGUGCCUAAUACAUGCAAGUAGAACGCUGAAGGAGGAGCUUGCUCUUCUGGAUGAGUUGCGAACGGGUGAGUAACGCGUAGGUAACCUGCCUGGUAGCGGGGGAUAACUAUUGGAAACGAUAGCUAAUACCGCAUAAGAGUAGAUGUUGCAUGACAUUUACUUAAAAGGUGCAAUUGCAUCACUACCAGAUGGACCUGCGUUGUAUUAGCUAGUUGGUGGGGUAACGGCUUACCAAGGCGACGAUACAUAGCCGACCUGAGAGGGGGAUCGGCCACACUGGGACUGAGACACGGCCCAGACUCCUACGGGAGGCAGCAGUAGGGAAUCUUCGGCAAUGGACGGAAGUCUGACCGAGCAACGCCGCGUGAGUGAAGAAGGUGUUCGGAGCGUAAAGCUCUGUUGUAAGAGAAGAACGAGUGUGAGAGUGGAAAGGUCACACUGUGACGGUAGCUUACCAGAAAGGGACGGCUAACUACGUGC
rnacentral:rRNA from 1 species